CCUAAUUUUGUUAUUCGCUUCCCUUUCGACUUUCCAUUAGUCUUCUCUGCAAAUCGGUUUCAACGAUUAAUUUCGCCACUUAUAGCCUCACCAAUAACUGCUGUAAUCAAACAUUCGCUUGAACUGACUCGAUGAAUUCUUUUCGCUUUCCUCUCCAUUUUUCUAUUUAUAAACCUCUUCUCCUCUUGCCUUAUUUCCCCACCACAACUAAGAAUAUUCUCUCAAAUAUUUAUCCCGAUGGAUCUCAGCGGCAACUCUCCAGCUUCCUGCUACCACAAGACCAGCAAGAAGACUGUCGCCUCCUCUGCGACUGCGAAAUCAACCGGGAAGUCCACUGCUUCCUCUGCGAUUGUGGUGAAACCUGCCGGAAAGGCUGCUGUUUCAUCUGCCAAUCCGAUGGAACCAAACGCUGCUACCGAUCUCUCCUCAAUGCCUGGCGAGCAAGUGAUGUUCUUCAGAGAGGUUUCUCUCGGCCCACGCGAAGCCGAGUUGAUGUUCCGUAUGAUUCAUUUCUGGGAGGCUCGCAAUCCACACGAUGACGCUCAUUGGACAAGAGAUGCUUCUUAUCGACGAAGAGAUUUUGUUCCAGCCAGUCGAGUUGGGAGAUAUGAAAUGACAGUAGGUUCUGACUAUAAGCUGAUCUAUUUUUCCGGAUCCAGAAGCAAAGAUCAGUAUCGCGUUGCUGAUCAUAGCGCCACUGUCUCAUUCACCUGAAAUUCUUCUUUGUCUGUUCUUGAGAACCCUCCGGUUCAAAUUCCAGAAGAUAGGUUCAGGUUCCACACCUAUGAGGAGUUUAAGGCCAAUUGUGACUCCAAGGGUGAUCUUUAUGAUUAUGUUAGCCACAUGAAGCUGGUGAAUGGGCAGACUAUGACUGACCAUAUUGUUCUUGGCGAAGCUGACAUAGCAGAGAAGCGGCAUCUAUGUGUUCAUGUUCAGACACAUGAUGGACCAGUGAUGAAGCUGUAUCUAUGGGACAAGGCUGCAUCCGACUUCUGCCAGAAAUUCAAAUCGUAUGGAAGCAUUCCAAGCGUUCUUUUGGUCACCACAGUGAACCCUAAACAUCUUGGAGGAACCCUUGCUCUCACUUCGAUGUCAUCAUCCCGAGUGUUUAUGGAUGCCGAUGUUCAGCCAAGCAAGGAUUAUCUCGAAUGGUUGGUCUCGAACUCAGAAAUUGCUAAUAGAGUUGCUGCUGAGGUUGUCACUAAGCCUGAGGCAGUGACUCUUGAGUAACUAUUCUCUUACAUCAAGCAGGAAACUUCUAAGGUUGUUUGGUUAGAAUGCACCGCAACUAUAGAUGAUAUUGUCCAGGGUUCUGCUUGGUACUACAUUUCCUGUGGUGGCUGCAAUAGUAAGGCAGUCAAAGGGCCUACCUCUCUGAUUUGCAACAAUAAGAAGUGUGGGAAAAGUGAAGUCACAGGCGUUCCUCAGUACCUGACGAUGAUUUCUGUUUAUGAUAAGAGUGAGCAAGCACUUUUUGUCAUUCUUGGUGAUGCUCAGAAGGAGUUGACUGGCAAGCAUGCAGCAGAAUUAGUUGCAAAUUACUUUGAGUCUAAUGCUGGAGUUGGAGCUGAUCAUUGUGUGCCGGUUCCGGAGGCUUUGCUUGAAACAAUAGGUCAGACACGCAAGUUCAUUGUGAAAGUCUCGGAUCAUAAUUUGACAGGCAAGACUCAGACCAUAACUGUCACAAAGAUUCUCCCAGCAUAAGCUCCUCUUCCAUCAACGUCUGAUGGUAUUUUGAAGACUGGAGGUGAUGACUCUGGACCUUCCGGAGGGGCUGGAGAUUCUGCAGGUGAUAGGGCUAGAAAAGCAGCUGAGAGUCUUGAGUCGGAUGGAGCCAAGCGUUCGAAGAGUGGCUAAUAUAGCUUAAACUCUUCCUUCUACGCGUGAUUGUGUUUGCUGCAGUUUAUGUGUGUGUUUUUAUGUUUCCCUAAUAAUUUUGCGUUCUUGACAUUUGCAUUUUCAGAAUUUUAUCCUUUCAUGUCUAAGUUUUUGUUGAAUACAAUUUUCGUUCUAUGGGUUUUACAUAUC